rnacentral:tRNA from 5 species
GCCCUCGUAGCUCAGGGGAUAGAGCACCGCUCUCCUAAAGCGGGUGUCGCAGGUUCGAAUCCUGCCGAGGGCACCA